UCCCAGACUCCUACGGGAGGCAGCAGUGGGGGAUAUUGCACAAUGGGGGGAACCCUGAUGCAGCGGCGCCGCGUGGGUGAAGGAGUGCUUCGGCAUGUAAAGCCCUAUCGGCAGGGAAGAAGCAAGACGGUACCUGACUAAGAAGCCCCGGCUAACUACGUGCCAGCAGCCGCGGUAAUACGUAGGGGGCGAGCGUUAUCCGGAUUCACUGGGUGUAAAGGGAGCGUAGACGGCCAUGCAAGCCAGGGGUGAAAGCCCGGGGCCCAACCCCGGGACUGCUUUGGAAACUGUUAAGCUGGAGUGCAGGAGAGGUAAGUGGAAUUCCUAGUGUAGCGGUGAAAUGCGUAGAUAUUAGGAGGAACACCAGUGGCGAAGGCGGCUUACUGGACUGUAACUGACGUUGAGGCUCGAAAGCGUGGGGAGCAAACAGGAUUAGAUACCCUGGUACG
rnacentral:rRNA from 1 species